GAUGAACGCUGGCGGCGUGCCUAAUACGUGCAAGUCGAACGCUGGAAAUCUAGCUUGCUAGAUUGAAGGAGUGGCGAACGGGUGAGUAAUACAUAAGCAACCUACCCACGAAGACUGGGAUAAUCUCUGGAAACGGGGACUAAUACCGGAUAGGUAAUCGGAAGGCAUCUUCUGAUUAUUAAAGGUUAAAAACACUGGUGGAUGGGCUUAUGGCGCAUUAGUUAGUUGGUGAGGUAACGGCCCACCAAGACGAUGAUGCGUAGCCGGCCUGAGAGGGUGAACGGCCACAUUGGGACUGAGACACGGCCCAGACUCCUACGGGAGGCAGCAGUAGGGAAUUUUCGGCAAUGGGGGAAACCCUGACCGAGCAACGCCGCGUGAGUGAUGACGGCCUUCGGGGUGUAAAGCUCUGUUGUAAGGGAAGAACGGUAGAUAGAGAAUAUCUAAAUGACGGUACCUUACCAGAAAGCCACGGCUAACUACGUG
rnacentral:rRNA from 1 species